rnacentral:rRNA from 1 species
UACGUAGGGGGCUAGCGUUGUCCGGAUUUAUUGGGCGUAAAGAGCGUGUAGGCGGCCAGGUAGGUCCGUUGUGAAAACUCGAGGCUCAACCUCGAGACGUCGGCGGAACCUCUGCUAGAGUCCGGAAGAGGAGAGUGGAAUUCCUGGUGUAGCGGUGAAAUGCGCAGAUAUCAGGAAGAACACCCGUGGCGAAGGCGGCUCUCUGGGACGGUACUGACGCUGAGACGCGAAAGCGUGGGGAGCAAACAGG